rnacentral:rRNA from 1 species
UACGGAGGGUGCAAGCGUUACUCGGAAUUACUGGGCGUAAAGCGUGCGUAGGUGGUUUGUUAAGUCUGUUGUGAAAGCCCCGGGCUCAACCUGGGAAUUGCGAUGGAGACUGCAAGGCUAGAAUCUGGCAGAGGGGGUAGAAUUCCACGUGUAGCAGUGAAAUGCGUAGAGAUGUGGAGGAACACCGAUGGCGAAGGCAGCCCCCUGGGUCAAGAUUGACGCUCAUGCACGAAAGCGUGGGGAGCAAACAGGAUUACGAAACCG